rnacentral:tRNA from 1 species
GGGCCAUUAGCUCAGGUGGUUAGAGCGCACCCCUGAUAAGAGUGAGGUCCCUGGUUCAAGUCCAGGAUGGCCCA